UUGCUCUGAUAAUUAUACGUUUUGUCGGGAAUCAAGUCCUUGCAUUGAAGCCUGAAGCCCUCCAAACCGGGAUCAGUGCUAGUGAUGCUGCUAUUAUGCUGGGGAUUGCUCCAGCUAUGGCUAAGGAGCAUCUGCUAACUGCUGAGAGCAAGAGUCUCCUGUGCAGAGAUGUAAGCCUGAUGGCUUUCGGUUUUAUGUCAAUCUGUUUCAAGACAUCGAUCUAGAUGACGUAUACCUAGUCAACGAUCACAGUGCUUACGGAUCAUGGGUCAGUACUGUGUGCUUCUAGUUUAACGUCAAUGAAGCGCUUGAGGUCUCGGCCUUGAAACCGAGAACUUGGCAGUCGCGAAGGAUUUGAGAAGAAGUUUGCCAUUCAAAGUGUUGGUGGUGUUGUCCUUCACAUGUAGUUGCAUGGAUUUGGAGAUAAUGGCGGAUUAGGCAAGCGAAAGGGAGCUGGAGGUUAUACGUGUAUUUAUGCUUUUGUAUCUUGUAGCGUAGAGGAGACUUAUGGAAUCAAAAUAAGGGAAAGAAGCAGAAAGUAAUUUUUUUUUUAAUCAGGUUCUUAUUUCCCCGAGGUUUUUGUUAAAUGUAACCAGAUAAAGAAUCAUUUGUCUUGACUUCAAGUGGUGGAGCCUGUGUCGACCAAAAGAAAGAAA